rnacentral:rRNA from 1 species
AGCUGAUCACUGGGCAUAAAGCGUGCGCAGGCGGCUUUGCAAGACAGAGGUGAAAUCCCCGGGCUCAACCUGGGAACUGCCUUUGUGACUGCAAGGCUAGAGUACGGCAGAGGGGGAUGGAAUUCCGCGUGUAGCAGUGAAAUGCGUAGAUAUGCGGAGGAACACCGAUGGCGAAGGCAAUCCCCUGGGCCUGUACUGACGCUCAUGCACGAAAGCGUGGGGAGCAAACA